GCGGCGGUGGCCAGCCCGGUGAACGGGUACUGGCUGCCCGAGCCGGUGAGGAAGCCGCCGCC
rnacentral:tRNA from 1 species